rnacentral:rRNA from 1 species
GACGAACGCUGGCGGCGUGCUUAACACAUGCAAGUCGAACGGAGUGGCGAACGGGUGAGUAACACGUGGGUGAUCUGCCUUGCACUUCGGGAUAAGCUUGGGAAACUGGGUCUAAUACCGGAUAGUGCAAGAUGAGCUGGCGGCCGUUCAGCUUGUUGGUGGGGUAAUGGCCUACCAAGGCGUGGAGGGGUAGCCGGCCUGAGAGGGAGUACGGCCACAUUGGGACUGAGAUACGGCCCAGGCUCCAACGGGAGGCAGCAGUGAGGAAUAUUGCACAAUGGGCGGAAGAAUGAUGCAGCGACGCCGCGUGGGAGAUAAAGGCCUUCGGGUUGUAAACUCCUUUCGACAGGGACGCGGUACCUGUAUAAGAAGCACCGGCUAACUACGUGCCAGCAGCCGCGGUAAUUC